rnacentral:rRNA from 1 species
GAUCCUGCUGGAGAAUGCUGCUAGUGGAAUUCGUCUAAGCCAUGCAAGUCAGAGGUCCUAGUGGCCUCGGCGUACGGCUCACUAACGCGUGGGUAACCUACCCUAUGGUGGCGGAUAACCUCGGGAAACUGAGGGUAAUACGCCAUAGGAAAUAACUACUGGAACAGUGUUUUUUCUUAAAGCCUUUGGGCGCCGUAGGAUGGGCCUGCGUUGGAUUAGGCAGUUGGUGGGGUAACGGCCCACCAAACCUUUGAUCCAUACGGGCUCUGAGAGGAGUAGCCCGGAGAGGGGUACUGAGACAAGGACCCCAGCCCUACGGGGUGCAGCAGGCGCGAAAACUCUGCAAUGCGCGAAAGCGUGACAGGGGGAUUCCACGUGCAAGCUAUGCUUGCUUUUCUCAAGCUUAGGACGCUUGGGGAAUAAGGGCUGGGUAAGACUCGUGCCAGCCGCCGCGGUAAUACGGGCAGCUCAAGUAGUGUUCGCGUAUAUUGGGCCUGAAGCGUGCGUAGCCUGUUGACUAAGUUCUUGGUGAAAUCUUGCGAUUUAAUCGUGAGGCGUGCCAGGAAUACUGGUUGACUUGGGACCGGGAAGGGUCGGAGGUAUUCCUUGGGUAGGGAUAAAAUCCUAUAAUCCUUGGAGGACCAACGGUGGCGAAGGCGUCCGACUGGGACGGGUCCGACGGUGAGGCACGAAAGCUAGGGGAGCGACCUGGAUUAGAUACCCAGUUAGUCCUAGCUGUAAAUGAUGCGGGUUUGGUAUUGCGUAGCCUACGAGGCUCCGCAGUGCCGUAGGGAAGCCGUUAAACCUGCCGCCUGGGAAGUACGGUCGCAAGACUGAAACUUAAAGGAAUUGGCGGGGGAGUACUACAAGGGGUGGAGGCUGCGGUUUAAUUGGAUACAACGCCGGACAACUCACCAGGGAAGACAGCAUUAUGAUGGCCAGUCUAAAGGGCUUGCUUGAAGCGCUGAGAGGUGGUGCAUGGCCAUCGUCAGCUCGUGCAGUGAUGUGUCCUGUUAAGUCAGGCAACGAGCGAGACCCGUACUUCCAGUUGCUAACUUCGUUCUACGGGACGAGGUGCACUCUGGAGGGACUGCCGCUGAUAAAGCGGAGGAAGGAGCGGGCGACGAUAGGUCAGUAUGCCCCGAAUUUCCUGGGCUACACGCGGCCUACAAUGCGACGUACAAUAGGAUGCAACUCCGAAAGGAGAAGCUAAACCCGUAAAACGUCGCUUAGUUCGGAUCGAGGGUUGGGACUCACCCUCGUGAAGAUGGAAUCCCUAGUAAUCGUGUGUCACUAUCGCACGGUGAAUGCGUCCCUUCUCCUUGCACACACCGCCCGUCAAACCAUCCGAGUGGAGCCUGGACGAGGCUGGAUCCACCAAGGGUCUAGUCGAAUCUGAGCGCUGUGAGGAGGGUUAAGUCGUAACAAGGUA